UACGUAGGGUGCAAGCGUUGUCCGGAAUCAUUGGGCGUAAAGCGCGCGUAGGUGGCUUCGUAAGUCCGUUGUGAAAGUCAAAGGCUCAACCUUUGAAUGCCGAUGGAUACUGCGAAGCUAGAGUACGGAAGAGGCGAGUGGAAUUCCUGGUGUAGCGGUGAAAUGCGUUGAUAUCGGAAGGAACGCCGGUGGCGAAAGCGACCCACUGGAUCUCUACUGACGCUGAGGCGCGAAAGCCAGGGGAGCAAACGGG
rnacentral:rRNA from 1 species